rnacentral:tRNA from 1 species
UCCGAAUUAGUGUAGGGGUUAACAUAACUCGCUUUCAUGACCAUCAAUCAUUACAUGAUAUGUUCUGGAGCCGAGUAGCCCCGGGUUCGAUUCCCGGAUUCGGAA